rnacentral:rRNA from 1 species
CCUGCGGUGUACAGUGGUAGUGUGACAUCAGUCAGCUAAUUUUAUGUUUCUUAUUAUUCUGGCAUUUUCUCAAUUCUUUUAGUAUUGACUUUUGUCAAUUCCUUUAUUCCUUUAGUAUUUAGUAUGCCCGGCAACGACGAGGCCAGAGGAAACUCUAGUGGAGGUCGGAAGUGAUUCUGACGUGCAAAUCGAUCGUGCGAUCCGGGUAUAGGGGCGAAAGACCAAUCGAACCAUCUAGUAGCUGGUUCCUUCCGAAGUUUCCCUCAGGAUAACUGGCGCUCGAUGGGAAGCAGUCGCACCUGUUAAAGCGAAUGAUUAGAGGCAUUGGGGUCGAAACGUCCUCAACCUAUUCUCAAACUUUCAAUGGGUGUGUGGGAGGCCUUCUCGGUUUGAGGCCUGCCGCUGCGUUGAGAGUGCCAAGUGGGCCACUUUUGGUGAGAAGAACUGGCGCUGUGGGAUGAACCAAACGCCGGGGUAAGGCGCCCGAGUCGGGACGCUCAUGAGACCCCAUGAAGGGUGUUGGUUGCCUAAGACAGCAGGACGCUGGCCAUGGAAGUCGGAACCCGCUAAGGAGUGUGUAACAACUCACCUGCCGAAGCAACUAGCCCCGAAAAUGAAUGGCGCUCUAGCGUCGCGCCUAUCCCCGGCCGUCGCUGGCAGAAGUGCAACCGAAAACGGAUGGGAGCGCUACGCUGCGACGAGUAGGAGGGCCGCUGCGGUGAGCGGUGAAGGUUGCGGGCGUGAGCCCGCCUGGAGCCGCCGCUGGUGCAGAUCUUGUUGGUAGUAGCAAAUACUCAAGUGAGAACCUUGAGGACUGAAGUGGAGAAGGGUUCCAUGUGAACAGCAGUUGAACAUGGGUCAGUCGGUCCUUAGGGAAAGGAGAAAUCCUUUCAGAAGCGGGCGUUAUUUUUUUAUGUGCUUAGCAAAGCACAGUUAUAUGUUCUAUUUUGUUUGUCAGUGCGGCCAUAAAUUUGUAAUGAUGACAAAAUAAGCACGUCUAUCGUUUUAUACGCGUCGUUUUCUUUGCGUUAGUAACAUCCACGGCUUUUUUUUACCUCGGAGAUAAAACAAUUGUAUGUUUCAUGUGUUUUUCCAGGUUUAUAUUCCCCAAUUC